rnacentral:rRNA from 1 species
AGUCGAACGGCAGCACGGACUUCGGUCUGGUGGCGAGUGGCGAACGGGUGAGUAAUGUAUCGGAACGUGCCUAGUAGCGAGAGAUAACUACUGCGCGAAAGCGUAGCUAAUACCGCAUACGCCCUUCGGGGAAAGCGGGGGACCUUCGGGCCUCGCACUAUUAGAGCGGCCGAUAUCGGAUUAGCUAGUUGGUGGGGUAACGGCUCACCAAGGCGACGAUCCGUAGCUGGUUAUGAGAGGACGACCAGCCACACUGGGACUGAGACACGGCCCAAAAGACUCCUACGGGAGGCAGCAGUGGGGAAUUUUGGACAAUGGAAACCCUGAUCAGCCAUCCCGCGUGUGUGAUGAGGCUUCGGGUUGUAAAAGCACUUUUGGCAGGAAAGAAACAGCACGGAUAAUACCCCGUGCAACUGACGACACCUGCAGAAUAAGCACCGGCUAACUACGUGCCAGCAGCCGCGGUAAUACGUAAGUGCAAGCGUUAAUCGGAAUUACUGGGCGUAAAGCGUGCGCAGGCGGUUCGGAAAGAAAGAUGUGAAAUCCCAGAGCUUAACUUUGGAACUGCAUUUUUAACUACCGAGCUAGAGUGUGUCAGAGGGAGGUGGAAUUCCGCGUGUAGCAGUGAAAUGCGUAGAUAUGCGGAGGAACACCGAUGGCGAAGGCAGCCUCCUGGGAUAACGACGCUCAUGCACGAAAAGCAUUACAGGGAGCAAACAGGAUUAGAUACCCUGGUAGUCCACGCCCUAAACGAUGUCAACUAGCUGUUGUUCGGGCCUUGGUGGCGCAGCUAACGCGUGAAGUUGACCGCCUGGGAGUACGAUCACAAGAUUAAAACUCAAAGGAAUUGACGGGGACCCGCACAAGCGGUGGAUGAUGUGGAUUAAUUCGAUGCAACGCGAAAAACCUUACCUACCCUUGACAUGUCUGGAAUCCCGAAGAGAUUUGGGAGUGCUCGCAAAGAGAACCGGAACACAGGUGCUGCAUAGCUGUCGUCAGCUCGUGUCGUGAGAUGUUGGGUUAAGUCCCGCAACGAGCGCAACCCUUGUCAUUAGUUGCUACGAAAGGGCACUCCUAAUGAGACUGCCGGUGACAAACCGGAGGAAGGUGGGGAUGACGUCAAGUCCUCAUGGCCCUUAUGGGUGGGGCUUCACACGUCAUACAAUGGUCGGGACAGAGGGUCGCCAACCCCGCGAGGAGCCAAUCAGGAAACCCGAUCGUAGUCCGGAUCGCAGUCUGCAAAUGACUGCGUGAAGUCGGAAUCGCUAGUAAUCGCGGAUCAGCAUGUCGCGGUGAAUACGUUCCCGGGUCUUGUACACACCGCCCGUCACACCAUGGGAGUGGGUUUUACCAGAAGUAGUUAGCCUAACCGCAAGGGGGGCGGUGCCACAUUAGGAUUCAUGACUGGGGUGGGGAAUCGUAACAAGGUAG